GAAGCGGCAAUAGCUCAAAUUUGAAAUCUGGCGCUUGCGUCCGUAGUUGUAAUUUGCAGAGGAUGAUUUUGGUUAGGUACCUUCCGAGUUCCUUGGAACAGGACGCCUUAGAGGGUGAGAGCCCCGUACGGUUGGAUGCCGAGCCUUUGUAAAUCUCCUUCGACGAGUCGAGUAGUUUGGGAAUGCUGCUCUAAAUGGGAGGUAAAUUUCUUCUAAAGCUAAAUACCGGCCAGAGACCGAUAGCGCACAAGUAGAGUGAUCGAAAGAUGAAAAGCACUUUGAAAAGAGGGUUAAAUAGCACGUGAAAUUGUUGAAAGGGAAGGAUUUAUGACCAGACUUUUUCUAGGAGGAUCAUCCGGUGUUCUCACCGGUGCACUUCUUCUAGUCUAGGCCAGCAUCGACUUUCGGCGGUGGAUAAAAGCUUUGGGAAUGUGACUCCUUUCGGGGAGUGUUAUAGCCUAUUGUAUAAUACACUGCUGGGGGUCGAGGUACGCGCUUCUGCAAGGAUGCUGGCGUAAUGGUUAUCAAUCACCCGUCUUGAAACACGGACCAAGGAGUCGAACAUUUGUGCAAGUGUUUGGGUGUUAAACCCUCACGCGUAAUGAAAGUGAACGGAGGUGAGAGCCCUUACGGGUGCAUCAUCGACCGAUCCUGAUGUUUUCGGAUGGAUUUGAGUAAGAGCAUAACUGUUCGGACCCGAAAGAUGGUGAACUAUGCGUGGAUAGGGUGAAGCCAGAGGAAACUCUGGUGGAGGCUCGCAGCGGUUUCUGACGUGCAAAUCGAUCGUCAAAUCUGCGCAUGGGGGCGAAAGACUAAUCGA
rnacentral:rRNA from 1 species